AUGCUUGUUCACAUUAUUCCUGAUUUGCUAAGUGUUAAAACGCGAGAGUUGUUCUUGAAAACUCGAGCUGAAGAGCUUGACAAGGAAAUGGGCCUAAUAAUAAGACAAGAAGAAACUGGCAGACAUGUCAGGAUGCUGACUCAUGAGAUAAGAAGCACACUCGACAGACACACAAUCUUGAAGACUACUCUUGUGGAGCUAGGUAGGACCUUAGACCUGGCAGAAUGUGCUUUGUGGAUGCCAUGCCAAGGAGGCCUGACUUUGCAACUUUCCCAUAAUUUAAACAAUCUAAUACCUCUGGGAUCUACUGUGCCAAUUAAUCUUCCUAUUAUCAAUGAAAUUUUUAGUAGCCCUGAAGCAAUACAAAUUCCACAUACAAAUCCUUUGGCAAGGAUGAGGAAUACUGUUGGUAGAUAUAUUCCACCAGAAGUAGUUGCUGUUCGUGUACCGCUUUUACACCUCUCAAAUUUUACUAAUGACUGGGCUGAACUGUCUACUAGAAGUUAUGCGGUUAUGGUUCUGGUUCUCCCGAUGAAUGGCUUAAGAAAGUGGCGUGAACAUGAGUUAGAACUUGUGCAAGUUGUCGCAGAUCAGGUUGCUGUCGCUCUUUCACAUGCUGCAAUUUUAGAAGAUUCCAUGCGAGCCCAUGAUCAGCUCAUGGAACAGAAUAUUGCUUUGGAUGUAGCUCGACAAGAAGCAGAGAUGGCCAUCCGUGCACGUAACGACUUCCUUGCUGUGAUGAACCAUGAA
rnacentral:misc_RNA from 1 species